rnacentral:rRNA from 1 species
GACGAACGCUGGCGGCGUGCUUAACACAUGCAAGUCGAACGGGCCUGUCUUCUUUUUUGGGGGGUGGGUUGAGUGGCGAACGGGUGAGUAUCACGUGAGUAACCUGCCCUUCGGUCCUGGAUAACCGCUUGAAAGGGCGGCUAAUACGGGGUGGUCCGGUUGGUCCGCAUGGGCUGGUCGGGAUAGAUUCACUGUUUUUGGUGUUUCGGCGGGGGAUGGGCUCGCGGCCUAUCAGCUUGUUGGUGGGGUGAUGGCCUACCAAGGCGGUGACGGGUAGCUGGCCUGAGAGGGUGGGCGGCCACACUGGGACUGAGAUACGGCCCAGACUCCUGCGGGAGGCAGCAGUGGGGGGUAUUGCACAAUGGGCGGAAGCCUGAUGCAGCGACGUCGCGUGAGGGAUGGAGGCCUUCGGGUUGUGAACCUCUGUUUCCGGUGGUGAAGGCCCUGUCCGUGUGGUGGGGUUGACGGUAGCCGGGGAUGAAGCGCCGGCUAACUACGUG